CCGGCAGCGGGUGGUCCCCAGCCUCCGGGUUCGCCCCCCGGGAGUCUUGCGAGGCGCCGCUGACCGGCCGCUGUCUGCCGAGCCACUCCCCCGCCUCGGGCUCCGGGUGCGGCUGGCGGCGGCAGCCGCUCCGCAGCUGGGCGUCCUGCCUGCUGCGUUUGGAGUGGUCUCGGGAUGCUGCCUUAAUUCUGCUGCGCGUUUUUCUUCGGAUAGCGAGCCGGUUUCAACAACGUGAGGGCCUCCAUUCUCUUCCCUUGGCAGCUCUUCAGAACCAGAGAUCCUGUCCGAAGAAGAUGACAUAAAAUCCCAGCAAACUACAUUAUCCAGAGCACAAGAAGAUUCAGGGAAACAUGAUGAGGCUGACUGAAGAUUGAUAUUUUUCAACAAAAAAUGAAACCUGAGCAAUACACAGAAGUGCAAUACUGCAGACAGAAGGCCCCAGAGAGACCCUAACAGGCUUGAGAAGUAGACUUGUGUGAAACUCAUGAAGUUCAACAAGGCCAAGUGCAAGGGUCCUGCACCUGGGUUUGGGCAACACCCAGUAUCAGUACCGACUGGACAAUGAAUGGAUUGAGAGCAGCCCUGAAGAGAAGGACUUGGGGAUACUGGUUGUGAGAGACUGAAAGAGUUAACGUCUCAAACAUUGUGGUGGGGCAAGUUAUGCCUAACAAUGAACGCUGCAUAGCAAGGAACCCCAGGUGAAAA